rnacentral:rRNA from 1 species
GACGAACGCUGGCGGCGUGCUUAACACAUGCAAGUCGAACGGAAAGGCCCUGCUUUUGUGGGGUGCUCGAGUGGCGAACGGGUGAGUAACACGUGAGUAACCUGCCCUUGACUUUGGGAUAACUUCAGGAAACUGGGGCUAAUACCGGAUAGGAGCUCCUGCUGCAUGGUGGGGGUUGGAAAGUUUCGGCGGUUGGGGAUGGACUCGCGGCUUAUCAGCUUGUUGGUGGGGUAGUGGCUUACCAAGGCUUUGACGGGUAGCCGGCCUGAGAGGGUGACCGGCCACAUUGGGACUGAGAUACGGCCCAGACUCCUACGGGAGGCAGCAGUGGGGAAUAUUGCACAAUGGGCGGAAGCCUGAUGCAGCAACGCCGCGUGCGGGAUGACGGCCUUCGGGUUGUAAACCGCUUUCGCCUGUGACGAAGCGUGAGUGACGGUAAUGGGUAAAGAAGCACCGGCUAACUACGUGCCAGCAGCCGCGGUGAUACGUAGGGUGCGAGCGUUGUCCGGAUUUAUUGGGCGUAAAGGGCUCGCAGGUGGUUGAUCGCGUCGGAAGUGUAAUCUUGGGGCUUAACCCUGAGCGUGCUUUCGAUACGGGUUGACUUGAGGAAGGUAGGGGAGAAUGGAAUUCCUGGUGGAGCGGUGGAAUGCGCAGAUAUCAGGAGGAACACCAGUGGCGAAGGCGGUUCUCUGGGCCUUUCCUGACGCUGAGGAGCGAAAGCGUGGGGAGCGAACAGGCUUAGAUACCCUGGUAGUCCACGCUGUAAACGGUGGGUACUAGGUGUGGGGUCCAUUCCACGGGUUCCGUGCCGUAGCUAACGCUUUAAGUACCCCGCCUGGGGAGUACGGCCGCAAGGCUAAAACUCAAAGGAAUUGACGGGGCCCCGCACAAGCGGCGGAGCAUGCGGAUUAAUUCGAUGCAACGCGUAGAACCUUACCUGGGUUUGACAUGGAUCGGGAGUGCUCAGAGAUGGGUGUGCCUCUUUUGGGGUCGGUUCACAGGUGGUGCAUGGCUGUCGUCAGCUCGUGUCGUGAGAUGUUGGGUUAAGUCCCGCAACGAGCGCAACCCUUGUUCACUGUUGCCAGCACGUUAUGGUGGGGACUCAGUGGAGACCGCCGGGGUCAACUCGGAGGAAGGUGGGGAUGACGUCAAGUCAUCAUGCCCCUUAUGUCCAGGGCUUCACGCAUGCUACAAUGGCUGGUACAGAGAGUGGCGAGCCUGUGAGGGUGAGCGAAUCUCGGAAAGCCGGUCUCAGUUCGGAUUGGGGUCUGCAACUCGACCUCAUGAAGUCGGAGUCGCUAGCAAUCGCAGAUCAGCAACGCUGCGGUGAAUACGUUCCCGGGGCU